rnacentral:rRNA from 1 species
AGAACGAACGCUGGCGGCAUGCCUAAUACAUGCAAGUCGAACGAACUCUUCGGAGUUAGUGGCGCACGGGUGCGUAACGCGUGGGAAUCUGCCCCUUGGUUCGGAAUAACAGUUGGAAACGACUGCUAAUACCGGAUGAUGACGAAAGUCCAAAGAUUUAUCGCCAAGGGAUGAGCCCGCGUAGGAUUAGCUAGUUGGUGAGGUAAAGGCUCACCAAGGCAACGAUCCUUAGCUGGUCUGAGAGGAUGAUCAGCCACACUGGGACUGAGACACGGCCCAGACUCCUACGGGAGCAGCAGUAGGAAUAUUGGACAAUGGGCAAAG